rnacentral:rRNA from 1 species
GAUGAACGCUGGCGGCGUGCCUAACACAUGCAAGUCCAACGAGAAUACCCCGAUGUUUCGGCGGAUGGGUAUUCGAGUGGCGGACGGGUGAGUAACGCGUGGGUAACCUGCCCUGUACCGGGGGAUAACAGUUAGAAAUGACUGCUAAUACCGCAUAAGCGCACAGUACCGCAUGGUACAGUGUGAAAAAACUCCGGUGGUACAGGAUGGACCCGCGUCUGAUUAGCCAGUUGGCGGGGUAACGGCCCACCAAAGCGACGAUCAGUAGCCGACCUGAGAGGGUGACCGGCCACAUUGGGACUGAGACACGGCCCAAACUCC